rnacentral:misc_RNA from 1 species
AAUAUUAUCUUAAAAAUUAUUAUCAAAUAGGCCAAUAUCUUUUAUGAAUAAACUCCAAUUACUACUAAAUAUUGUACAAUUGCUUGUGGUGUGAUAUAUAGUUAAUGCCUUUAAUAAUGCUGCUCUAUUUUGGUUCAUACGUUAAGUCUAUUUCAUGGUCUACUUUGGUACAACAGCAGUCCACACAACUCACAUGCAGAGGUUUGAAAAUGGAUCUUAUUUCAGUGUCUAGUUCCAAAAGUCAAUUGAUUAAUCAAAGAUAUAAAUAUUUCCAAUG